CGCGCGCCCAGGUGAGCAGGAGCUGAACCGGAUCAAACCGGUUUAGAGUGAAAGUGAAAGUGGAGCAGCGUCUGUUCAGAGAAGAGAAGAUCAUAAACAGAGAAAAGCUCAGAGUCUAAUUCAGAGAGAUCAGACUCACCUGAUCUCAGCUACGAGUCCAUGAAGAGUCACUGAUCCACCAUGAAGAUCCAGAGAGGAGGACAGUUCUACUGAGAGAGCAGCAUCUCCAGUGACCAGCUGCGUGUGGUGAGUAAAACCUCAGUGAUGGAGCUUCAUCACUCCAGCAGUGGAGGAAGAACCUCUGAUUCAAAAGUGAAGCGUGCAGGAUCUCCAGAACCCAGCUCUGUGCCUGUGAAGAGUGACCAGUCCAUGGGGAAACCUCUCAAUUUCAGCAGAGGAGGAGGAGAACCCAGCUGUGUGUCUAUCAAGAGUGACCGGUCCAUAGAGAAACCUCUCAAUUUCAGCAGAGGAGGAGGAGAACCCAGCUGUGUGUCUAUGAAGAGUGACCAGUCCAUGGAGAAACCUCUUAAAUUCA